rnacentral:rRNA from 1 species
UUGGCGGACGGGUGAGAAACGCGUGAGAAACCUGCCUUUCACAAAGGGAUAGCCUCGGGAAACUGGGAUUAAUACCUUAUGAUACUCCUAGAUCGCAUGAUCUGGAAGUUAAAGCGUAAAGCGGUGAAAGAUGGUCUCGCGUCCUAUUAGCUAGUUGGUAAGGUAACGGCUCACCAAGGCUGCGAUAGGUAGCCGGCCUGAGAGGGCGAACGGCCACACUGGAACUGAGACACGGUCCAGACUCCUACGGGAGGCAGCAGUGGGGAAUAUUGCACAAUGGAGGAAACUCUGAUGCAGCGACGCCGCGUGAAUGAUGAAGGCCUUCGGGUCGUAAAGUUCUGUCCUUGGGGAAGAUAAUGACGGUACCCAAGGAGGAAGCCCCGGCUAACUACGUGCCAGCAGCCGCGGUAAU